GGACCCAUGGCGCAACGGUAGCGCGUCAGAUUCCAGUAUAGGGAACUCCUGAAGGUUAUCCGUUCGAAUCGGGUUGGGUUCA
rnacentral:tRNA from 1 species